rnacentral:lncRNA from 1 species
AAUAAGGAAACGUCUUGUGUCCAAUGCGGGUCGGGCCCAUUAUGUCUAUAUUUUGUCGAUCUUGUAGUUGUAACCUUUAAUUCUCAAAGAGAUAUUAAUAACAAUCAAAAUCAUAUUCAGUGUUGCAUGACCGGUGCCAUCAUAGAUCUUAUAUGUUCUUUUCCGUAUAAGAUGUGGAGUUGAAUCUUAUUUAGUUAUUUGUGUUGAAAAGGAUUCAUGUAAGCUCUUUGUAUCGUCGUUUCAUUUGUCAAUUUUUAUAAUUGCAAUCAGGUCUAACAAUAACAGAUUGAAGAAUCAGCCUUGCAUUUGUUUGGUGCGUGUAGCGUCGCCAUCCAGGUUUGGGACUACAUUGCUAGAUGGUGUAGACUUAAACCGAUUUUCAUUUUGGAACUGAAGGAUCUAGCAAAUAUUCAUAACCAGAAUCGUGGGUCAAAAAUGUGGAAAAAAGCGGUGUAUCUGGUUGUUCAAACAGCAAUUUGGUGCAUCUGGAGGUCUCGUAUAGUACUGUUUUCAACAGGAAGCGUGUUUCGGUGACAAAUAUAAUCGAGGAGAUCAAACUUCUCGGUUUUCUUUGGAUGCGGAGUAGAAUAAAAGGACGCGAAAUCACUUGGGAAAGCUGGGUUUCAUUCAAUUUAGCCUGUCUGGGGACUGUUAGCCAACUUUUUAUGGUGGAAUGAAAGUUUUUGUUUGCCUUUCAAAAGAAAAAAAAAAUAACAGAUUGUCGAUUGGGGUUGUAAAUGGUUUAAGGGCGAAGUCUAGUAAAGAUUGUUUCUAGU